ACCGAGUGCUGGAACAGUUGUUUUUCGUUCCAAGACCCUCGAUACAGACAUCCGUGAAUGUGUCUCUAUGAAAUGGUGUCCCGUCUGGUAUACACUAAGUCAUCUCUAGGGCUUCCAGUGUCCAUGACUGGAAUACAAGUUCUGCUCUCAGAGAUGCUGGAGGUUGAGAAGGGCAGGAGGAGCCUGUAGUGUGGGGAGGUGACUUUUCAGGCUGCACAAUCGAGUUAAACAGCUCAGCUUACCAAAUGAUACUGUUACAUCUGGAUAUCUGGAGGAAAUUAUUCAAUUAUGUACUCUUCGUAGCAACACCGCUGAAAAAGAAUAAAUAUGGGCGUUUGAAUCUGUGACUGACAGGGUCCACGUGGAAGCUGUUUCGAGCCAUGGUCCCUGCGCUUCCCAGAUGUGGGAGUGGCUGCCUUCGAGCUCUCCAUCUGCCUUUACUCUAAAGACUGUUUAUCUAAUUGUCUGGUAAUUUCCUUAGCUUUUCUGAUUUCCU